UGGGGGAUUAGUGGCGAACGGGUGAGUAACACGUGAGUAACCUGCCCUUGACUCUGGGAUAAGCCUGGGAAACUGGGUCUAAUACCGGAUACGACCAUCUGACGCAUGUCAUGGUGGUGGAAAGCUUUUGUGGUUUUGGAUGGACUCGCGGCCUAUCAGCUUGUUGGUGGGGUAAUGGCCUACCAAGGCGACGACGGGUAGCCGGCCUGAGAGGGUGACCGGCCACACUGGGACUGAGACACGGCCCAGACUCCUACGGGAGGCAGCAGUGGGGAAUAUUGCACAAUGGGCGAAAGCCUGAUGCAGCGACGCCGCGUGAGGGAUGACGGCCUUCGGGUUGUAAACCUCUUUCAGUAGGGAAGAAGCGAAAGUGACGGUACCUGCAGAAGAAGCGCCGGCUAACUACGUGCCAGCAGCCGCGGUAAUACGUAGGGCGCAAGCGUUAUCCGGAAUUAUUGGGCGUAAAGAGCUCGUAGGCGGUUUGUCGCGUCUGCUGUGAAAGACCGGGGCUCAACUCCGGUUCUGCAGUGGGUACGGGCAGACUAGAGUGCAGUAGGGGAGACUGGAAUUCCUGGUGUAGCGGUGAAAUGCGCAGAUAUCAGGAGGAACACCGAUGGCGAAGGCAGGUCUCUGGGCUGUAACUGACGCUGAGGAGCGAAAGCAUGGGGAGCGAACAGGAUUAGAUACCCUGGUAGUCCAUGCCGUAAACGUUGGGCACUAGGUGUGGGGGACAUUCCACGUUUUCCGCGCCGUAGCUAACGCAUUAAGUGCCCCGCCUGGGGAGUACGGCCGCAAGGCUAAAACUCAAAGGAAUUGACGGGGGCCCGCACAAGCGGCGGAGCAUGCGGAUUAAUUCGAUGCAACGCGAAGAACCUUACCAAGGCUUGACAUGAACCGGAAAGACCUGGAAACAGGUGCCCCGCUUGCGGUCGGUUUACAGGUGGUGCAUGGUUGUCGUCAGCUCGUGUCGUGAGAUGUUGGGUUAAGUCCCGCAACGAGCGCAACCCUCGUUCUAUGUUGCCAGCGCGUUAUGGCGGGGACUCAUAGGAGACUGCCGGGGUCAACUCGGAGGAAGGUGGGGACGACGUCAAAUCAUCAUGCCCCUUAUGUCUUGGGCUUCACGCAUGCUACAAUGGCCGGUACAAAGGGUUGCGAUACUGUGAGGUGGAGCUAAUCCCAAAAAGCCGGUCUCAGUUCGGAUUGGGGUCUGCAACUCGACCCCAUGAAGUCGGAGUCGCUAGUAAUCGCAGAUCAGCAACGCUGCGGUGAAUACGUUCCCGGGCCUUGUACACACCGCCCGUCAAGUCACGAAAGUUGGUAACACCCGAAGCCG
rnacentral:rRNA from 1 species